rnacentral:lncRNA from 1 species
GGCAAAGCCUUCAGAGACCAUGACUGCUGAGCUGGAAACCCAAGAGGCCCAGAAAGCCAGUGUGCAAUGCUCUGCCCUAAAGAUGGGGCUGUGUGAGAGUGAGGGUGUCGGUAUUCCUGGACGUCGGUGACAAGAGCGUCUGGAAGAUGUAACUUACGUUAGGGGAAGGGCUGUUUCCUCUGGACUUCGGAAGAAUCAGACUGAGCAAAUUCCUGUGCCUCUUAUAUGAGCCACGCAAGCCACCACAGCCCCCUUGGACAGGGUCCAGGCUCUAGUGUCCCGCUGGAAAGGAUACUGUGCUGCAAGCCCCAUCCCACCCCAGUGAAGACAUGGCUCUGAAGAGUGGCACUGAAGCAAAGCAGCCUCCCUGCGGGUCAGUAGGAGAAAUAAGUGUCCAUCUCAUUUGUAUGCGUGGCACCUGCAAUCACAAUGACUUGCUUUUAUCAUUUCAUUUGUCCCAUACUGUACUUUAAAAUAAUGUAUUUUCAUAAUGUGUGUGUGUGUGUGUGUGUGUGUGUGUGUGUGUAUUCCUUUAUGUAGGAAUAGGCAAAUUUGCAUAUGCAGAUAGGAAUGCACACAUUUGCAUACUUAGAUAGAAACACAUUUGCAUAUGUAGAUGACAAAAGUUGACAUUGUGUAUCUUCUUCAGUAGCUCUCCAUCUUGUUUUUUGAGACAGGGUCUCUCACUGAACCUGGAGGUCACUGAGGCAGCUAGACUGACUGGCCGCCAAGAGCUUGGGAUUACAGGGAGACCUUGCCUGGCGUUUUGCAUGGGUGCUACAUAUCUAAACUCAGGCCUUUGCACUCGGAUGUCAAUCACUUUAUCCGCUGAGCCACCUCUCCUCAGCUCUAAGUACUGCACCUCUUUUAAAGAGCUGUGUAGUAAAAAAUACCACCAACCCCAGCUUGGAGCAAGAACCAAAUGUGGCAUCCAACAAGGCUGGUGGCACACAUGAGGAGGCUGGGCUUCAACCUAUGCAUUUCUGUCAUGGCCAAUGUCGCAUGAAGGUCACUGUAACAAAGAGAAUAAGGACACCUGCCAUAAGUUUGCAAGCUUUCUAUAAAUCUAAAAUAAUUCCAAAUAAAGACAAUUAUCAUCUCUAUAUUUACCCACGUGUUUAAUAACAACAAUAAUAACUAUUAUUGUCACUAGUAGGAGUUCCUUCUGAAGUUACAAAAAAUAGGUUAUAAAAACAAAAAAAAAAAUGUACUAAGUAUAAGUAUCCAUAGGGCUUUGCAGACCAAUAUUGAGAAGCAACAGGCCAGGCCUGCACAUCUGUUAUUUGCCAUACAUCAUACAACAAAGUAGGUGACACAGGGGUUGUUUUCUCUAGCCCCAAACCCCUGUAAACACAAUGAUGCCAGACAGCAGAGAGAGGGACACACCAUACUGCUACAACAGAGUCUCAGUGAACCCAGCAUAGGCAGAACCUCAAAAGACAGGAUCCUUCUGACCCAAAAAUAGACAGCUACACACCCCCAUGUACCCUCUUACCUCCUCUAACCUGUGUCCCCAACCCAUCGCUGGCCAGCCAAGGCUGUUUGGGAAAUAGAUGCCCCCAGGGCUCAUUUUGGAACAGUUCUCUCCACAUUGGCAAGCUAACUUCAUCAAGAAAGCUGUGGCGGGUGCUCUGGGGGAAAGGUACAAUGGCCACCUCCCGGGGCUGGUACACCAAUGUUCUUCUGCAGGUAAUUGCCUAAGCUAUCGCUGUGGGCUAUGUGCACACGGUGCCACCUGUAAUGAAAGUGGCUGAGUGACAGCUGAAAAGCCAGGGGAGAGCAGAGUGUUUAUUUCCAUAAGAUUGUGUCUCUGUUUAGGAAGCUCUGAUGUAGCUCCCGAGCUCCUGGCUCUCCCAUUUCUAAUCACAGAGUGUAAAAAUAAAAUUGUUUCUUUCAGUA